AGCCACUAGAUGUUAUUUGUGGUUUAACCUGCCCAAUGUAAUUAAAUGAAUGGCCGCGGUACCCUGACCGUGCUAAGGUAGCGUAAUCAGUUGGCUUUUAAAUGGAGUCAGGAAUGAAUGGGAAAACCGGGUUUAGCUGUCUCCUAGUUAUUAUAUUGAAUUUACUGUUUAAGUGAAAAAGCUUAAAUAUAAUAAAGGGACGAGAAGACCCUUAGAAUUUUUUUUACGGUAAGACGAUUCUUAUAAUGAUUUUGUUGGGGCGACAGAGAAAGACAGUUAGAACUUUCUUUUAAAUACUAGCCGAUUAUAUUAAGAAAGAAUAAAUUACCUGAGGGAUAACAGCAUAAUUCUAUAAUUGAGUUUGUGACCUCGAUGUUGGACUAGGAAACUAGCAGGUUAGCCGUUUGCUGUGUGGGUUCUGUUCGAACUUUAAUUCCUA
rnacentral:rRNA from 1 species